rnacentral:rRNA from 1 species
UACGUAGGGUCCGAGCGUUGUCCGGAGUUACUGGGCGUAAAGGGCUCGUAGGCGGCCAACUAAGUCAGACGUGAAAUCCCUCGGCUUAACCGGGGAACUGCGUCUGAUACUGGAUGGCUUGAAUCCGGGAGAGGGAUGCGGAAUUCCAGGUGUAGCGGUGAAAUGCGUAGAUAUCUGGAGGAACACCGGUGGCGAAGGCGGCAUCCUGGACCGGCAUUGACGCUGAGGAGCGAAAGCCAGGGGAGCAAAGCGGG